rnacentral:rRNA from 1 species
UAACUUUGGUUAUUAGAAUAAAGGUUCCUUUGGUUCCGCUUAUGGAAGAGCCUGCGUCCUAUCAGGUUGUUGGUGGGGUAAUGGCCCACCAAGCCGAUGACGGGUAGGGGGCGUGAGAGCGUGGCCCUCAGCACUGGGACUGAGAUACGGCCCAGACUCCUACGGGAGGCAGCAGCCGAGAAUAUUGGGCAAUGGGCGAAAGCCUGACCCAGCGACGCCGCGUGCGGGAAGAAGGCCUUCGGGUUGUAAACCGCUUUUAAUCGGGAGAAACCUUGUGCUUCGCACGGGGAAUUUCUAAUUAUUCUAAUUUCUAAAGUAGAUCCUUAAUAAAUCCUAAUAAUCUGUUUUUUAUCAUUCAAAGAAUUGAUUAGAAUUUAGAAAUCAGAAUUUAGAAUUUUUAAUAAUUAUUAGAAGUUGAUUAGGAUAGUUAGAGUAGUUGGAUAUUAGGAAUUUCUCGCGCGGAACACAGGGUGAUAGUACUGAUUGAAUAAGGGGUUGCUAAACUCGUGCCAGCAGCAGCGGUAAUACGAGUACCCCAAGCGUUAUCCGAAAUCACUGGGCGUAAAGCGUCCGUAGGGGGUCAAUUAAGUCUGAGGUUAAAUAUCGGGGCUCAACUCCGGUGCUGCCUCAGAAACUGAUUGACUAGAGCCGGUCAGGGGCCAGUGGAACGGACGGUGGAGGGGUGAAAUCCGUUGAUAUCGUCCGGAACACCGAAAGCGAAGGCAACUGGCUAGGGCCAGGCUGACCCUGAGGGACUAAAGCGUGGGUAGCGAACGGGAUUAGAUACCCCGGUAGUCCACGCCCUAAACGAUGGAUGCUAGCUAUUGGGAGAAUCGACCCUUCCAGUGGCGUAGCUAACGCGUUAAGCAUCCCGCCUGGGAAGUACGAUCGCAAGAUUAAAACUCAAAGGAAUAGACGGGGGCUCGCACAAGCGGUGGAGCAUGCGGUUUAAUUCGACGAUAAGCGAAAAACCUUACCAGGGCUUGAAAUCCUGUCGAAUUCUGGUAGAAAUAUCAGAAGUCCUGGCUUUGCCAGGACGGCCGGGUCAGGUGCUGCACGGUUGUCGUCAGCAUGUGGCGUGAGCUGCUCCCUUAAAUGGGGUAACAUGCGCAACCCUCAUCCAAUGUUACAAGUGUCAUUGGAAACUGCCCCCGAUUUUGUUCCGAUUUUUUAUAAUCGGGAUAAAAUCGGGGGAGGAAGGUGGGGAUGACGUCAAAUCCGCGUGGCCCUUUGAUGCCCUGGGCGACACGCAUGCUACAAUGGUCGGUACAACGGGUUACCAAACCGCGAGGUGGAGUUAAUCCUUUAAAACCGGCCUCAGUUCGGAUUGGAGUCUGCAACUCGACUCCAUGAAGUUGGAAUCGCUAGUAAUCGCGGAUCAGCACGCCGCGGUGAAUACGUUCCCGAGCCUUGUACUCACCGCCCGUCACGUCAAGGGAGUCGGGAGCGCCGGAAGCUCCUGUUUAUCAGGAACCAAGGCGAGUUCGAUAACAGGGACGAAGUCGUAACAAGGCAUCCGUAGGAGAACCUGCGGAUG